GCAGUGUUGGUUCGGUGGUAGAAUUCUUGCCUUCCAUGCAGGAGAACUGGGUUCGAUUCCUGGCCAGUGCA
rfam:Loxodonta africana unplaced genomic scaffold scaffold_2, whole genome shotgun sequence.